CGGCGGUGUGCCUAAUACAUGCAAGUCGAACGCGUUGGCCCAAUUGAUUGAUGGUGCUUGCACCUGAUUGAUUUUGGUCGCCAACGAGUGGCGGACGGGUGAGUAACACGUAGGUAACCUGCCCAGAAGCGGGGGACAACAUUUGGAAACAGAUGCUAAUACCGCAUAACAGCGUUGUUCGCAUGAACAACGCUUAAAAGAUGGCUUCUCGCUAUCACUUCUGGAUGGACCUGCGGUGCAUUAGCUUGUUGGUGGGGUAACGGCCUACCAAGGCGAUGAUGCAUAGCCGAGUUGAGAGACUGAUCGGCCACAAUGGGACUGAGACACGGCCCAUACUCCUACGGGAGGCAGCAGUAGGGAAUCUUCCACAAUGGGCGCAAGCCUGAUGGAGCAACACCGCGUGAGUGAAGAAGGGUUUCGGCUCGUAAAGCUCUGUUGUUAAAGAAGAACACGUAUGAGAGUAACUGUUCAUACGUUGACGGUAUUUAACCAGAAAGUCACGGCUAACUACGUGCCAGCAGCCGCGGUAAUACGUAGGUGGCAAGCGUUAUCCGGAUUUAUUGGGCGUAAAGAGAGUGCAGGCGGUUUUCUAAGUCUGAUGUGAAAGCCUUCGGCUUAACCGGAGAAGUGCAUCGGAAACUGGAUAACUUGAGUGCAGAAGAGGGUAGUGGAACUCCAUGUGUAGCGGUGGAAUGCGUAGAUAUAUGGAAGAACACCAGUGGCGAAGGCGGCUACCUGGUCUGCAACUGACGCUGAGACUCGAAAGCAUGGGUAGCGAACAGGAUUAGAUACCCUGGUAGUCCAUGCCGUAAACGAUGAGUGCUAGGUGUUGGAGGGUUUCCGCCCUUCAGUGCCGGAGCUAACGCAUUAAGCACUCCGCCUGGGGAGUACGACCGCAAGGUUGAAACUCAAAGGAAUUGACGGGGGCCCGCACAAGCGGUGGAGCAUGUGGUUUAAUUCGAAGCUACGCGAAGAACCUUACCAGGUCUUGACAUCUUGCGCCAACCCUAGAGAUAGGGCGUUUCCUUCGGGAACGCAAUGACAGGUGGUGCAUGGUCGUCGUCAGCUCGUGUCGUGAGAUGUUGGGUUAAGUCCCGCAACGAGCGCAACCCUUGUUACUAGUUGCCAGCAUUAAGUUGGGCACUCUAGUGAGACUGCCGGUGACAAACCGGAGGAAGGUGGGGACGACGUCAGAUCAUCAUGCCCCUUAUGACCUGGGCUACACACGUGCUACAAUGGACGGUACAACGAGUCGCGAACUCGCGAGGGCAAGCAAAUCUCUUAAAACCGUUCUCAGUUCGGACUGCAGGCUGCAACUCGCCUGCACGAAGUCGGAAUCGCUAGUAAUCGCGGAUCAGCAUGCCGCGGUGAAUACGUUCCCGGGCCUUGUACACACCGCCCGUCACACCAUGAGAGUUUGUAACACCCAAAGUCGGUGGGGUAACCUUUUAGGAGCCAGCCGCCUAAGGUGGGACAGAUGAUUAGGGUGAAGUCGUAACAAG
rnacentral:rRNA from 1 species